rnacentral:rRNA from 1 species
AGCGGCGAACGGGUGAGUAAUGCUUCGGAAUCUUCCUCGUAGUGGGGAAUAACCUGGGGAAACUCAGGCUAAUACCGCAUACGAACUACGGUUGAAAGCAGGGGAUCGCAAGACCUUGCGCUAUGAGAUGAGCCGAAGUCGGAUUAGCUAGUUGGUGGGGUAAAGGCCUACCAAGGCGACGAUCCGUAGCUGGUCUGAGAGGACGACCAGCCACACUGGGACUGAGACACGGCCCAGACUCCUACGGGAGGCAGCAGUGGGGAAUAUUGGACAAUGGGGGCAACCCUGAUCCAGCGACGCCGCGUGUGUGAAGAAGGCCUGCGGGUUGUAAAGCACUUUUAGUGGGGAUGAAAAGCCGAAGGCUAAUACCUUUCGGUCUUGACCUAACCCAUAGAAAAAGCACCGGCUAACUCUGUGCCAGCAGCCGCGGUAAUACAGAGGGUGCAAGCGUUAAUCGGAAUUACUGGGCGUAAAGCGUGCGUAGUCGGUUAUCUAAGUCGGGUGUGAAAUCCCCGGGCUCAACCUGGGAAUUGCAUUCGAUACUGGAUAGCUAGAGUUCGGCAGAGGGAAGCGGAAUUUCGGGUGUAGCGGUGAAAUGCGUAGAUAUCCGAAGGAACAUCAGUGGCGAAAGCGGCUUCCUGGACCAGAACUGACGAUCAGGCACGAAAGCGUGGGGAGCAAACAGGAUUAGAUACCCUGUAGUCCACGCCAU